rnacentral:ncRNA from 1 species
CUAUAGGCAAACUUAUUGAAAAAUAAGGACGCAAAGCCAUGGGUCUAAGGGUAUUUCGCAAGGAGUACUGAUGACUGCCAGGUUGC